rnacentral:sRNA from 1 species
GUAGCAUUGAAGAUGAUUUUGAUGUAUGUAAAAUUAAGCAUAUUAAUCUAAGAAUCUCUCUCCACAUUCGUAGGAUGUAAUCCCUGUUCAUUACUACUUAAUACCUCCACCAACAAAGACUAAGAAUGGCAGCAAAGAUAAGGAAAAAGAUUCAGAAAAAGAGAAAGAUUUAAAAGAAGAGUUUACUGAAGCAUUACGAGAUCUUAAAAUUCAGUGGAUGACAAAGCUGGAUUCUAGUGACAUUUAUAACGAAUUGAAAGAAACAUAUCCUAAUUAUCUUCCUCUGUAUGUUGCACGACUUCAUCAAUUGGAUGCUGAAAAGGAACGAAUGAAAAGACUUAAUGAAAUUGUUGAUGCGGCAAAUGCUGUUAUUUCUCAUAUAGAUCAAACAGCCCUAGCAGUUUAUAUUGCAAUGAAGACUGAUCCCAGGCCUGAUGCAGCUACUAUAAAAAAGUACCUAACCAGUUGCCUUCUGAUUUCUGCAUCAUUCCAGCCCUUCUCUGGGCAGCCAGGAUCCAUCAGGCAGCAUUUGCCGAGUCUGCCCUGCAGACUCUGGCCGAGCGACGGAUGAAAGGAGUGCUCAGACACAGUGACAUGGACAAACAAAAAUCCACCCUCGUAGAUGCCCUUUGUAGGAAAGGUUGUGCCCUGGCAGACCAUCUUCUUCACACCCAGGCUCAAGAUGGAGCCAUUUCCACUGAUGCAGAAGGGAAGGAGGA